rnacentral:rRNA from 1 species
AUUCCAGCUCCAAUAGCGUAUAUUAAAGUUGUUGCAGUUAAAAAGCUCGUAGUUGGAUGUUGGGUUCUAGUUAUGGUCGGUCUCUUCUAGAGUACUGUCAUGCUGGCCCUUUUUCUCGAGGCAUAUAGGUGCACUUUACCGUGUGUUUAUAUUGUUCGGGACUUUUACCGUGAGAAAAUUAGAGUGUUCAUAGCAGGCUAGUGCUUGAAUAUUACAGCAUGGAAUAAUGGAAUAGGAUCAUGAUCUUAUUUUGUUGGUUUCUAAGAUUAAGAUAAUGAUUAAUAGGGAUAGUUGGGGGCAUUAAUAUUUAGUUGUCAGAGGUGAAAUUCUUAGAUUUACAAAAGAUUAACUUCUGCGAAAGCAUUUGCCAAGGAUGUUUUCAUUA